rnacentral:rRNA from 1 species
AUUGAACGCUGGCGGAAUGCUUUACACAUGCAAGUCGAGCGGCAGCGCGGGGCAACCUGGCGGCGAGCGGCGAACGGGUGAGUAACAUAUCGGAACGUACCCAGUCGUGGGGGAUAACUAUCCGAAAGGAUAGCUAAUACCGCAUACGACCUGAGGGUGAAAGCGGGGGACCGAAAGGCCUCGCGCGAUUGGAGCGGCCGAUAUCGGAUUAGCUAGUUGGUGAGGUAAAGGCUCACCAAGGCGACGAUCCGUAGCUGGUCUGAGAGGACGACCAGCCACACUGGAACUGAGACACGGUCCAGACUCCUACGGGAGGCAGCAGUGGGGAAUUUUGGACAAUGGGGGGCAACCCUGAUCCAGCCAUUCCGCGUGAGUGAAGAAGGCCUCGG